AAAUAGUAAUGCAAGUCGAGCGAACAGAAGGGAGCUUGCUCCCGGAUGUUAGCGGCGGACGGGUGAGUAACACGUGGGUAACCUGCCUGUAAGACUGGGAUAACUCCGGGAAACCGGAGCUAAUACCGGAUAGUUCCUUGAACCGCAUGGUUCAAGGAUGAAAGACGGUUUCGGCUGUCACUUACAGAUGGACCCGCGGCGCAUUAGCUAGUUGGUGGGGUAAUGGCUCACCAAGGCGACGAUGCGUAGCCGACCUGAGAGGGUGAUCGGCCACACUGGGACUGAGACACGGCCCAGACUCCUACGGGAGGCAGCAGUAGGGAAUCUUCCGCAAUGGACGAAAGUCUGACGGAGCAACGCCGCGUGAGUGAUGAAGGUUUUCGGAUCGUAAAGCUCUGUUGUUAGGGAAGAACAAGUGCGAGAGUAACUGCUCGCACCUUGACGGUACCUAACCAGAAAGCCACGGCUAACUACGUGCCAGCAGCCGCGGUAAUACGUAGGUGGCAAGCGUUGUCCGGAAUUAUUGGGCGUAAAGGGCUCGCAGGCGGUUUCUUAAGUCUGAUGUGAAAGCCCCCGGCUCAACCGGGGAGGGUCAUUGGAAACUGGGAAACUUGAGUGCAGAAGAGGAGAGUGGAAUUCCACGUGUAGCGGUGAAAUGCGUAGAGAUGUGGAGGAACACCAGUGGCGAAGGCGACUCUCUGGUCUGUAACUGACGCUGAGGAGCGAAAGCGUGGGGAGCGAACAGGAUUAGAUACCCUGGUAGUCCACGCCGUAAACGAUGAGUGCUAAGUGUUAGGGGGUUUCCGCCCCUUAGUGCUGCAGCUAACGCAUUAAGCACUCCGCCUGGGGAGUACGGUCGCAAGACUGAAACUCAAAGGAAUUGACGGGGGCCGCACAAGCGGUGGAGCAUGUGGUUUAAUUCUAA
rnacentral:rRNA from 1 species